UUUUACAAUAGGGUUGGCAUUGCAGAGAAGGAUGAACAAGGGGAGCCUAAAGGAAUUGUCUUUCUUUCCAAACUCUUACUCCUUUUCCAAUACUGUCAUAUAUGCUUCACUCCCAACCCCGAAGCCACGUCGCCACAAAUUGGAACCCUGCUGACAAUUGAAACAAAAUGUAACAAAUGUAAAGAGAUCUGUACAUGGAAAAGUCAGCCUUUCCUUCUUGGGAAAUUCCCAGCUGGUAAUCUCUUACUCAGUUUUGCAGUUCUUUGUGCGGGUGCCUCUAUAAAGAAGGUACUUUUGGUGUUUCGUCAUGUGGGAAUUCUGGUAUAUAGUGAACCCACAUAAUAUUACCACCAGAGACACCUCCUCAUCGCAACAGUGAUAUCAUUCUGGCGUAAAUACCACAAAAAAUUUUUAGACACUCUGAAAGGGAAAGAGGUUGUGUUGGCUGGAGAUGGGUGCCAUGAUAGCAUGGGCCAUUCUGCUAACUACGGAAUUUGUACAAUCUUCUGCUGUACAGUGAGCCUUAUCAUUCACAUUGUUCUUGUACAGGCAAGUGAUAUAACUUUGGUUAAUCUCCAUUAGAAUGUUACUUGUACAUCCUCCAAUUCAAAUACUCUAGCUUAUAAUAUUAUUAGUGACUACUUUUGAUAAGCAAUAGUAAUUAUAGCAAAGCAAGUAUAAUUCCCCUAGUAAUCAAGUGGUCCAGUUACUAAUUAAUAGUAACAAGGCUGAGAGGAUCUCUUUUUUGUGUGAAAAUUAAAUUAAAGAUGUAAUCGCAUAUUAGAGUGGCAGAUCCAUACUAGCAUAAAAGAAAGGGGGCCUUGGAUUGACUAAGGUGGUGCCAUGGAUUAAAAACUACCUGAAAGGCACAGGUUUUGGAAACGCAGUUCAAGGUGGGGCACAGAACCUCACUGGAUCUGCCCCUACCUUGCUUAUCAUGAAUACAUGUACACAGAAACCUGCUGAGAGGAAAAUACAAGACACAAACAUCGACACAUAUACUUUUUCCAUAAUGAAACCUGUACCUUACAUUACUUUCUAGGCUAACCAGGCAGGAAGCAGUUCAGGAGUUGAGUUCAUGGCCUUCAAGUAAGCAUUCACCUAUUCUGUUAGCCAGUGGCAUGAUUUUUAAGUCUUAUAUCUGACAGACAUGUCUCUAUUGCUAAAUGGAUGAGAGAGGAGUGUGGCAAGAAAUGCAAUGAACUAGGAAAGCCAGUUGUUAAUCACUUCUUUGAUCUCUGGCACAUUGGGAAAAGUAUGUAAAUAGUAAUAUAUAUCAUUCAAAAAGUAUAAUUAGUGGGACAAAUGAACAACUAAAUCAGUCAGUCAGUGGCUUCUCACAUUGAAUGGAAUCAGCUUGGUUUAAACAUGUAAGUUGCACUUUGAAUAAUCUGAUUGCUAUCAAUGGUUUGUAUCUUUCUGUAGAAAUAGAAAAUUCUAACCAAACUGAGCAAGGAGAAAAACUGUGAAAUCAUUGGCCGUUGGAGAAAGGCAUGUGUGAAACACUUUUACUGAGCAGUAACAUUAACCCAAGAAUGCCUCAGGCAACUUAAGCUUGCCAAAUUCCAAGCCUUCCUUAGUCAUGUUACUAACAAGCACAAGGACCUUCCAAAUAGGCUGUUCAAUGCUUGUGCCCAUGGAAAUAUUACCACUCUAAAAUUGUGGACUUUCUAAUCAAGUUUCAAUCUAUUGUAUUGAUUGCAGUUUCAGAGACCUAUGAAAAGUUGUGUUUAGCCCUUAAUAAGAGCACUCUCACAAAAUCAAUAGAGAAAGCAUCCUCAGUGGAACAAAGAAGUUGUCUGUCCCUCUACACUGCAAAUCUGCCUGCUAUGUUGAUGAUAACAAACUCUAUUUAUCUUUUCCUUCAACUAAUACAACUACUACAAUCGACAAUUUGAAUGAGGAUCUAAAAAAUAUCUGUCUGGUGCUGCAAAAAUUCUCUUCUAAUUAACCCAGACAAAACCAAAGUUCUGUUUAUUGGCGUGCCGCAACUUCUCCGCCAAUUGCCUGCAGUACCUGUCUUAAUGCUUGGAAAAGAAAUCAAUCCCGUCAUUGUCGCCAAAGACCUUGGUCUUUAUCUUGAUCAAUCUUUAACUUACAGCGAUCACGUUACAAAAACAGCUUCUAACUGCAUGCACAAACUGAUAGAAAUAAACAGGAUAAAGCAUUUAUUGGAUAAGAAGACAUUGCUUCUACUUAUGGAUUCUUUUAUCUUCAG